UGUCCGGGGGGCAGCCGGGGUGACGGCGGGAGGCGCAGCUGGGAGCGCGAGGGGCGGGGAGCGGGGCCCGGGCCCUCCGCUUUGCUGGCUCGGGGACUGUUGAAAGGGGCUUCCUUUAGGUGAAUGAGAGGCUUGCUUUUUCUGGGGACGCUGGCAGUUGGAGACGAGAGGAGGGCACGACCGCGGUUUUUCCUUCCCGGUGGAACUGUAAUUGUGCAGGAAAACAGGCGCCAGGCGCGCCGGGCCCGCCGCCCACCCUGGGACCCUCCCUACGCCAGGGCUCCGCCGGGGCCCUCCGAGCCUCGGCCGCCUGCCGCGCCGCCCGGGGAGGCCGCAGGGUGAGAGGCCCGCGUGCUGACGCGCCCGGAGCGGUUGGCCGCGAGCUCGGGGUCCUGGGUCCGGGGCGCCAGGCCCUCUCAGUCCGGGGGUCCAGCCUGCAGCGGGGCUGCCGCCGGAGCCGAACAGGUUCUGGGGCCACGGUAGCUGCUGUUCCAGAAAGGGUGACACGGUGAGGCUCCUGCCUCAGGGAAAUCUCGCGCGCAAACACCAGUGGUUCUGCAGCGCUUGUAUUUCAGGGCGGUUGGAGUAUUUCCAUUUAUAGCGCAUCCGCCCUGGUCAGCGGCCUCUGUCGUAGUCCCUGCAGUUUAGUGCAGCGAGAAGAGGUACCGCUGGGGACUUGGCUGCUUUGCGCAAGGCAGUGGUAGGACAGGCUCUGCGCACGUCCGUAGCCUGGGCUGUCACGGCUGGAGGGGGAGUAUUCGUGUAAAGCCCCGAACAGUGUUCUUAAAGGUCAGCAUCGAUUCCAGUGGGAAUUGCUCGGCUUGGCAGGGGGACCAACAAUCGAGUACCCGAAAGGCACCGAGCGCCUGCAGUGCGGCCCCUCAGGCUGCAGAGCGGCGGCGGUGGUGCUGGAGCGAACUCGGCAGGCUCGGGGCUGCGGGUGGCGGUGGCCUCCGUGGGGCGGCGCCCCAACCCCGUCCCAUCAGGACUCCAAGCCCUGCCCCAGCCUGGGCUAUGGCCCGGUGCCCAGAGCCCGCGGAAGCUGUCAGGAAGAGCAGGCAAGUGCAGGGUGACAGAGGUCCAGGGUCCCUAAAAUGGGGACUGUGUGCCAAGUCCGGCUGAUUGUCCUGUAAAUAAAGCUUUAUUGGAACAGGUUCCUCUCCCUGUUAUCUGGCAGUGACAGAAACCAUGCGUGCGCCAAGCCCAUCUGGCCCUUCCCCCCGUUACGGUUCCACCUGUUCCCCGGGCUGUGGGGUGCUCCUGUAUCCAUAUCCUAAGUUCCUCGUCUUACUUAAGACCCAAGUAGGUUUCCAAGUAGGUUUCUGUUUUGUAAAAUCGAAAAUGCCCUGAGGAGUUUUUACUUACUUUGUAAGCUCUCUGAGGAGGAAAAGGCUGGGUUCGAAACUGUACGUGAAGAUGCUCUGCUCUUUCCACCUGCGUGAAAAAGGUUAUCUCUGGGAGCUUGUAUGCAGCACAGAGUGUGAGCAGCCCAGGACCCAACAGUGGCCGGGUGGAGCUGAGACCCAGACUGAACUGGUGGAAGAGGAAUGAGGGCAGAACGCAGACUGGGAUGGCAGGAACCAUACUAACCAAUCCCUGAAGUGGAUGGAACUUUCAGCAUUCAUGUUUAAGGACUGGAGGAAAAUCACAAAGCCAGGACGUUUCACUGCGUCAUCCUGCUCCUGACAUCAAGGCUGUAACGGAUGCUGACCCCACACAGGACUCCUCCAGCCCCUGUGGAACAGGUGUCCUCCACGGACUAGCAGCAGAGCUUCCGCAAGUGACAGGACAGCAGAGAGGCCGGAGGGACCGUGGAGGUCAUCAGGCCAAUGUGCAAUGCCACCGGAGGAGGAGCCUUAUCAAUGGGUAACAGGCCAGAUCUCACACAGUCAAAUGUGUUUGAAGGGCCUCAAGCAGAACUACCACGAAGCCAAGAGUCCUGGCCCCAGACUUCCACAGCCCAUAAGAUGCAUACUUGGUUUCCGUCAACAGACCUGAUCAGCGUUUGUCGUGUUGAAACAGAGAUGUUCUGUGCAGAGCGCUACCAAUAAGGAAGUGGAAGUUCUCCAAACAUGAACUCACUCCAUCCAGUGCCCCACUGCUGCUCUGAAAUCCUGGGGUCCCGGGGCGUAGUUCCCAGGCUGUGUAGGUCAAGUGGACGUUGGACGCCAGGUGGCCCUGGCAUCGGGAGCUGGCCAGGGAUCCCCCCCACCCUGAGCAAUUCAGUGAGCUUCCCUCUCCUCCCCUGAUCCUCCUCUCUCUCCCCUGCCUGCGCAGCUGCUGACAUUGGCUCCUACUCUUGCUUUAAUGAAUUCCUUCCUUGCUGGCACUUGUUUGACCUGACAGAGAAUCCUUUCCUGAUCGGAGUCAAGAACCCUCCCCCAUCCCAGUUGACGUUUCACCUAGUGGUCAGGGAGAGACCUGCCCAGACGCAGCUGCUCAGCUGCACAGUGAUCUGUGACCAGUGAUUAUGACUCACUGAAAGCUCAGAUAAUGGUUAGCCCUUUUUAGCAAUACAGUAGAUUUUAAUAAAGGUGUGUGCA